rnacentral:rRNA from 1 species
UACGUAGGGGGCAAGCGUUGUCCGGAUUCAUUGGGCGUAAAGAGCGUGUAGGCGGCCAGGUAGGUCGGUUGUGAAAACUGGAGGCUCAACCUUCAGAGGUCGACCGAAACCAUCUGGCUAGAGUCCGGGAGAGGAGAGUGGAAUCCUGGUGUAGCGGUGAAAUGCUGCAGAUAUCAGGAAGAACACCCGUGGCGAAAGCGGCUCUCUGGAACGGUACUGACGCUGAGACGGCGAAAAGCCGUGGGGAGCGAACAGG